rnacentral:rRNA from 1 species
GACGAACGCUGGCGGCGUGCUUAACACAUGCAAGUCGAACGAUGAAGCCCAGCUUGCUGGGUGGAUUAGUGGCGAACGGGUGAGUAACACGUGAGUAACCUGCCCUUGACUCUGGGAUAAGCGCUGGAAACGGCGUCUAAUACCGGAUACGACCUGCCCCGGCAUCGGGUGCGGGUGGAAAGUUUUUCGGUCAAGGAUGGACUCGCGGCCUAUCAGCUAGUUGGUGAGGUAAUGGCUCACCAAGGCGACGACGGGUAGCCGGCCUGAGAGGGUGACCGGCCACACUGGGACUGAGACACGGCCCAGACUCCUACGGGAGGCAGCAGUGGGGAAUAUUGCACAAUGGGCGAAAGCCUGAUGCAGCAACGCCGCGUGGGGGAUGACGGCCUUCGGGUUGCAAACCUCUUUUAGUAGGGAAGAAGGGCUUCGGCUUGACGGUACCUGCAGAAAAAGCACCGGCUAACUACGUGCCAGCCGCCGCGGUAAAAC